AGACCCAGAACUCCACCCCAUUUCUGAAAACUUGCUGUCAGGCCCUCUCUCUUUGCUGAGAGCUUUCCUUUUGCUUAAUAAAUCCUACUCUACUCACUCUCCAGUAUCCAUGUACCUCAUUCUUGGCUAGCAGCCUUCGCUCUCGGCGCCUCUUCAGCCUUGGCGUCCACUCUGGCAGCGCUUGAGGAGCCCUUUAGCUCGCCACUGCACUGUGGGAGACCCUUUCAGGGCUGGCCGAGGCCGGAGCCGGCUCCCUCUGGUUGCAGGUUUUCGUGAGUUGUUGUGAGCUGUUAACGCUAACUGCGAAGGUCUGCAGUUUCGUUCCUGAAGCCAGUGAGACGACGAGCGGCAACGAAGAAUUAAUACUUCCACUUCCGGAAGUGCCGCCUUUAAUAAAGCUGUGAGGCUCGCAGGGAAGGUUUGCAACUUCACUCUUAAAGUCAACAAGACUGCAAACCAACCAGAAGUAAAAAACCACGAACACAUCUGAAAAAACAAACUCCAGGCAUACCAUUUGUAAGAACUGUAACGCUUACUGCGAGGGUCUGUGGCUUUAUUCUUAGCGAGAUCAAGAACCCACCGACUCCGGAAAGAAUACUGCAAGAACUUGGUCCUAGCUGAACUAAGAACAGGAUCAGACACAUGGAAAGGAUUCCACAAAUACUUGUUAAGUGAAUGAAUUCUGAUUCACCUGGCUCAAAAUUUCUUAAGGAAUAAUCAUAUGCUUUUGCUCAGAUUGUACAAGAACCAUACUCAAAUAUGAAACCUUAUAUACAAAAAGGAAAAAAGAAAAAAAAGAAGCCAAUUUGUAUUUACUCUUAGAAGCUGAGAAAAGACAUGUACGAGUUAAGCAGCCCGUGAGGAACACUUCUCCAGCACACAGUUUAUUGCCUUUAUCAGAGUCUGGUUCUGUCACCCAGACUGGAGUGCAGCAGCAUGAUCUUGGCUCACUGCAACC